rnacentral:rRNA from 1 species
CCUACGGGCGGCAGCAGUGAGGAAUAUUGGUCAAUGGGCGCGAGCCUGAACCAGCCAAGUAGCGUGAAGGAUGACUGCCCUACGGGUUGUAAACUUCUUUUAUAAAGGAAUAAAGUGAGGCACGUGUGCCUUUUUGUAUGUACUUUAUGAAUAAGGAUCGGCUAACUCCGUGCCAGCAGCCGCGGUAAUACGGAGGAUCCGAGCGUUAUCCGGAUUUAUUGGGUUUAAAGGGUGCGUAGGCGGCCUGUUAAGUCAGCUGUGAAAGUCUGUGGCUCAACCAUAGAAUUGCCGUUGAAACUGGGAGUCUUGAGUAUGUUUGAGGCAGGCGGAAUGCGUGGUGUAGCGGUGAAAUGCUUAGAUAUCACGAAGAACCCCGAUUGCGAAGGCAGCUUGCUAAGCCAUGACUGACGCUGAUGCACGAAAGCGUGGGGAUCAAACAGGAUUAGAUACCCGGGUAGUC